rnacentral:lncRNA from 1 species
CAAGGUAGAAAAUAGUUCAUAGAUAUAGUGAUUAGAUGCAAUUCCCAAUGGAAAAAGAGAAGCUCACGCAAAUUUGACAUGUUGCACACUCAAAUAACGUGUGGCAAUUUCCAAACCUAGAAAGGCCAAAGACCAGCUUCUUUUUUUAUUAUUAUUUUCAUAACUUUUCACAUGGCAGUGUAAGAGGACAACAAUGUGGCUAAAUAUGGAGCCACUCAAAAAACGUGUUGCAAUUCCUAAACCUGGAAAGGCCAAAGGCCAGCUUCUUUUUUUCUAUUUUCAUAACUUUCCACAUGGCAGCUUAAGAGGACAACAACGU